AGAGUUUGAUCCUGGCUCAGAACGAACACUGGCGGCAUGGAUUAGGCAUGCAAGUCGAACGAGAAAGUUCCCUUCGGGGGAUGAGUACAGUGGCGAACGGGUGAGUAACGGGUGGAAAACCUGCCCUUCAAUGGGGGAUAACAGUUCUAACGAGCUGCUAAUACCGCAUACGACCUUUUGAUCGCAUGGUCGAAAGGAGAAAGGUGGCGACCUCUUCGGAGAGCUGCCGUUGAAGGAUGGUUCCGCCUCCCAUUAGCUUGUUGGUGGGGUAAUGGCCUACCAAGGCGACGAUGGGUAGCCGGCCUGAGAGGGUGUCCGGCCACACUGGGACUGAGAUACGGCCCAGACUCCUACGGGAGGCAGCAGUCGAGAAGCUUCGGCAAUGGGCGAAAGCCUGACCGAGCGAUGCCGCGUGAGCGAAGAAGGUCCUAUGGAUUGUAAAGCUCUGUCAGAUUGGGAAGAAAUCCUCGCGGUUAAUACCCGUGAGGCUUGACGGUACCAUCAGAGGAAGCACCGGCUAACUCCGUGCCAGCAGCCGCGGUAAUACGGAGGGUGCAAGCGUUGUUCGGAUUCACUGGGUAUAAAGGGUGCGCAGGCGGCCUGUUAAGUCAGGGGUGAAAUAUGACGGCUCAACCGUCAAACUGCCCCUGAAACUGCCAGGCUUGAGUCCGGGAGAGGAAGGUGGAAUUCCAGGUGUAGCGGUGAAAUGCGUAAAUAUCUGGAGGAACACCAGUGGCGAAGGCGGCCUUCUGGCCCGGAACUGACGCUCAGGCACGAAAGCAUGGGGAGCGAACGGGAUUAGAUACCCCGGUAGUCCAUGCCGUAAACGAUGGGUACUAGGUGUUGGAGGAUUCUACCCCUUCAGUGCCGCAGCUAACGCAUUAAGUACCCCACCUGGGA
rnacentral:rRNA from 1 species